UACGUAGGGACCAAGCGUUGUUCGGAUUUACUGGGCGUAAAGGGCGCGUAGGCGGCAUGACAAGUCACUUGUGAAAUCUCCGGGCUUAACUCGGAACGGUCAAGUGAUACUGUCGCGCUAGAGUGCGGAAGGGGCAAUCAGAAUUCUUGGUGUAGCGGUGAAAUGCGUAGAUAUCAAGAGGAAUACCUGAGGUGAAGACGGGUUGCUAGGCCGACAUUGACGCUGAAGCGCGAAAGCCAGGGGAGCAAACGGG
rnacentral:rRNA from 1 species